AUCCGAGUUUGCUUCUGCAAGGCAUCUGACGUUUGUAAGGUAUGAGAUGAAUCAAUUCCAUCAACGCAUCAGUCAAUCAAUCUUCACCAACACCGCACGCCAUCAGCAACUCCGUUUUGUUGUUUCUUCUAAUGAAAACGGCUCUCCAUGAGAGUUCUGAUGAGUUCGAGUGAUGAACGAGGACACAGUUUGGUGAGAGUCAUGGAGUGUCAGUUCCGUCAUCACUUGGAUCUCAAGUCAAAGGGAAGUGGGCCAGUUUUGAGAGACUUUUGCCGUCACUCGCACCAUUUUGAUGGAAAAGUGCAUGCCGUUUGAGCGCGCGCACACACACAUAACCGGAGGAGUACAGAACAAACACAUCUCCUGGAUCCUGAGCACCAAAAACUACACUCAUCAUUUAUCAGCUAGCUAAAUGCCUGCCCAAACCAUUACCCUCCCCAAAGCAGCCAGCAGGACGGGGAGGGGAGGCGAGCAGAGAGGCGCUGCGCUGGGUGAAUUAAACUUUUGAGGGUUCAGCGCUUUCCCACUUUGGCGAUUCAUCUUUCCUCUCACCCAGGAAGUGCA